UACGUAGGGUGCAAGCGUUGUCCGGAAUUAUUGGGCGUAAAGCGCACGUAGGCGGCUUAGCAAGUCGGAAGUGAAAUCCCUCGGCUCAACCAAGGAAGUGCUUUCGAAACUGCUGAGCUUGAGUACUUAAGAGGAUCGCGGAAUUCCCGGUGUAGAGGUGAAAUUCGUAGAUAUCGGGAGGAACACCAGUGGCGAAGGCGGCGAUCUGGGAAGAUACUGACGCUGAGGUGCGAAAGCGUGGGGAGCAAACAGG
rnacentral:rRNA from 1 species